rnacentral:misc_RNA from 1 species
UCGUAGGGGCCUCGCCCCCUUCGAGAUAGCACCCUUUGUUUAUGAGCACCUCUCGUUUCCUCGGCAGGCUCGCCUGCCAACGGGGACCCACCACAAACCCAUUGCAGUACAAGAAGUACACGUCUGAACAAAACAAAACAAACUAUUUA